GGAUUAGAUACCCUGGUAGUCCACGCCGUAAACGAUGUCUACUAGCCGUUGGGGGGCAUGUCCCCUUGGUGGCGCAGCUAACGCGAUAAGUAGACCGCCUGGGGAGUACGGUCGCAAGAUUAAAACUCAAAGGAAUUGACGGGGGCCCGCACAAGCGGUGGAGCAUGUGGUUUAAUUCGAUGCAACGCGAAGAACCUUACCUGCCCUUGACAUCCUCGGAACGAUCUAGAGAUAGAUUGGUGCCUUCGGGAACCGAGUGACAGGUGCUGCAUGGCUGUCGUCAGCUCGUGCCG
rnacentral:rRNA from 1 species